rnacentral:tRNA from 1 species
UCCGGGGUCGUCUAAUGGUAGGACUACAGACUCUGAAUCUGUCUAUCGGGGUUCGAAUCCCUGCCCCGGAACCA